rnacentral:rRNA from 1 species
CGGCGAGUGAACAGGGAAAAGCCCAGCACCGAAGCCUGUGGUCAUUUGGUCACUAGGCAAUGUGGUGUUCAGGUCGUUUCAUAGAGGUGCUGCUCCACCCUAAGUCCAGCAAUGAGUACGGUGGUACGGACAUGGCCCACAGAGGGUGAAAGGCCCGUGGGGGUGGAGAUCAGGCAGGCCAGUGCCUCUCUGGGUAGACCUUGGAGUCGGGUUGUUUGUGAAUGCAGCCCAAAGUGGGUGGUAAACUCCAUCCAAGGCUAAAUACUUGCACGAGUCCGAUAGCGAACAAGUACCGUGAGGGAAAGUUGAAAAGUACUUUGAAGAGAGAGUAAACAGUGCGUGAAACCGCUCAGAGGUAAACGGGUGGAGUUGAACUGCAAGCUUCGGGAAUUCAGCUGGUGAGUGUGGUUUGGGCUUGGUCAAGUCGGUUGGACAUUGGGGUCUGCGUAGCGGCAGGUCUUUACCCUCGGGUAUUGAUGCGCGAUACACUUAUCAAGUGUUGUGCGCCUCUUUGUUUAUCGGGCCAAUUCGCCAGUGCACUUUCUCGGAGUGUUCACCACGACCGGCACUGCUGUCUGAUUGCUGUGGUUAAACCGGACUUACAGGGCUCUUGUGGCGUUGUAUGGCCGGGAAGGCAGGUAGCUCGUUGGCUGGCUUGCGGUUUACCCGUUGGCGUUUUGUUUUCGAGUGUAAAUAGCUGACC